GACGAACGCUGGCGGCGUGCUUAAUACAUGCAAGUCGAGCGAGGUUACUGGAGUGGAGCCCUUCGGGGUGAAGCUGCUUUAACCUAGCGGCGGACGGGUGAGUAACGCGUGGGUAACCUACCCCAAAGCCCGGGAUAACAGCGGGAAACCGCUGCUAAUACCGGAUGACUUUACCUUGGGGCAUCUUGAGGUAAAGAAAGGUUAACGCUUUGGGAUGGGCCCGCGUCCCAUUAGCUAGUUGGUGAGGUAACGGCUCACCAAGGCGACGAUGGGUAGCCGGCCUGAGAGGGUGGACGGCCACACUGGGACUGAGACACGGCCCAGACUCCUACGGGAGGCAGCAGUAGGGAAUAUUGCGCAAUGGACGGAAGUCUGACGCAGCGACGCCGCGUGAGCGAUGAAGGCCUUCGGGUCGUAAAGCUCUGUCCUUGGGGAAGAAGGUCUUCGGACUUGACGGUACCCAACGAAGAAAGACCCGGCGUAACUACGUG
rnacentral:rRNA from 1 species